rnacentral:rRNA from 1 species
UACGUAGGGUGCAAGCGUUAAUCGGAAUUACUGGGCGUAAAGCGCGCGCAGGCGGUCAUGCAAGUCAGAUGUGAAAUCCCCGGGCUCAACCUGGGAACUGCAUUUGAGACUGCAUAGCUAGAGUACGGUAGAGGGGGAUGGAAUUCCGCGUGUAGCAGUGAAAUGCGUAGAUAUGCGGAGGAACACCGAUGGCGAAGGCAAUCCCCUGGACCUGUACUGACGCUCAUGCACGAAAGCGUGGGGAGCAAACAGG